GACGAACGCUGGCGGUGUGCUUCACACAUGCAAGUCGAACGAGGUAGCAAUACCUAGUGGCGGACGGGUGAGUAACGCGUGGGAAUCUGCCCAUAGGUGGGGGAUAACUAGCCGAAAGGUUAGCUAAUACCGCAUAUGCCGAGAGGUAAAAGGAGUAAUCCGCCUUUGGAUGAGCCCGCGUCCGAUUAGCUAGUUGGUAGGGUAAAAGCCUACCAAGGCUACGAUCGGUAGCUGGUCUGAGAGGAUGAUCAGCCACACUGGGACUGAGACACGGCCCAGACUCCUACGGGAGGCAGCAGUGGGGAAUAUUGCGCAAUGGGCGAAAGCCUGACGCAGCGACGCCGCGUGGGUGAUGAAGGCCU
rnacentral:rRNA from 1 species